AGUUGGUGAGGUAACGGCUCACCAAGGCGACGAUGCGUAGCCGACCUGAGAGGGUGAUCGGCCACAUUGGGACUGAGACACGGCCCAGACUCCUACGGGAGGCAGCAGUGGGGAACAUUGCACAAUGGGGGAAACCCUGAUGCAGCAACGCCGCGUGAGUGAUGACGGCCUUCGGGUUGUAAAGCUCUGUCUUCAGGGACGAUAAUGACGGUACCUGAGGAGGAAGCCACGGCUAACUACGUGCCAGCAGCCGCGGUAAUACGUAGGUGGCAAGCGUUGUCCGGAUUUACUGGGCGUAAAGGGAGCGUAGGCGGACUUUUAAGUGAGAUGUGAAAUACCCGUGCUCAACUUGGGUGCUGCAUCUCAAACUGGAAGUCUAGAGUGCAGGAGAGGAGAAUGGAAUUCCUUGUGUAGCGGUGAGAUGCGUAGAGAUUAGGAAGAACACCAGUGGCGAAGGCGAUUCUCUGGACUGUAACUGACGCUGAGGCUCGAAAGCGUGGGGAGCAAACAGGAUUAGAUACCCUGGUAGUCCACGCCGUAACCGAUGAAUACUAGGUGUAGGGGUUGUCAUGACCUCUGUGCCGCCGCUAACGCAUUAAGUAUUCCGCCUGGGGAGUACGGUCGCAAGAUUAAAACUCAGAGGAAUUGACGGGGGCCCGCACAAGCAGCGGAGCAUGUGGUUUAAUUCGAAGCAACGCGAAGAACCUUACCUAGACUUGACAUCUCCUGCAUUACCCUUAAUCGGGGAAGUUCCUUCGGGGACAGGAAGACAGGUGGUGCAUGGUUGUCGUCAGCUCGUGUCGUGAGAUGUUGGGUUAAGUCCCGCAACGAGCGCAACCCUUAUUGUUAGUUGCUUCCAUUUAGUUGAGCACUCUAGCGAGACUGCCCGGGUUAACCGGGAGGAAGGUGGGGAUGACGUCAAAUCAUCAUGCCCCUUAUGUCUAGGGCUACACACGUGCUACAAUGGCAAGUACAAAGAGACGCAAUACCGCGAGGUGGAGCAAAACUCAAAAACUUGUCUCAGUUCGGAUUGUAGGCUGAAACUCGCCUACAUGAAGCUGGAGUUGCUAGUAAUCGCGAAUCAGCAUGUCGCGGUGAAUACGUUCCCGGGCCUUGUACACACCGCCCGUCACCAUGAGAGUUGGCAAUACCCAAAGUGCGUGAUCUAACUCGAAAGAGAGGAAGCGCCCUAAGGUAGGGUCAGCGAUUGGGGUGAAGUCGGAACAAGGUAGCCGUAGGAGAACCUGCG
rnacentral:rRNA from 1 species